GCCGGAGUGGCUCAGUGGUAGAGCAGCUGAUUCGUAAUCAGCAGGUCGCCGGUUCAAAUCCGGCCUUCGGCUCCA
rnacentral:tRNA from 1 species